rnacentral:rRNA from 1 species
CAGCCGCCGCGGGAAUACGGAGGGUGCAAGCGUUAAUCGGAAUUACUGGGCGUAAAGCGCACGCAGGCGGUUUGUUAAGUCAGAUGUGAAAUCCCCGAGCUUAACUUGGGAACUGCAUUUGAAACUGGCAAGCUAGAGUCCUGUAGAGGGUGGUAGAAUUCCAGGUGUAGCGGUGAAAUGCGUAGAGAUCUGGAGGAAUACCGGUGGCGAAGGCGGCCCCCUGGACAAAGACUGACGCUCAGGUGCGAAAGCGUGUGGAGCAAACAGGAUUAGAUACCCCUGUAGUCCCUGUCUCUUAUAC